rnacentral:rRNA from 1 species
UACGUAGGGGGCAAGCGUUGUCCGGAUUUAUUGGGCGUAAAGAGCGUGUAGGCGGCCAAGCAGGUCCGCUGUGAAAACUCGAGGCUCAACCUCGAGACGUCGGUGGAAACCGUUUGGCUAGAGUCCGGAAGAGGAGAAUGGAAUUCCCGGUGUAGCGGUGAAAUGCGCAGAUAUCAGGAGGAACACCGAUGGCGAAGGCAGGUCUCUGGGCCGCAACUGACGCUGAGGAGCGAAAGCAUGGGGAGCGAACAGG